CUGUAGAACGUGCACGCUCAGUCACUGACGUCCACCACACUCCCAGCCACAACAGGAAGUGCAGGGGAAUCAAGCUAACUUGGUUCUUGUGGCCAAUGUGAACGCUACACCCCUCCAUAACCCGUGAGGACAGCAGUGCACAACCUGUUGCACUAUGCUUUGCCCUGCAGUCCAUGAGGUUUGGAAGAAUGCAACAUUUAGAUGGGCAUUUUAAAAAUGCAAUCAUUUGUGAAGGUAAUGCAAGGUGGAGUAUUACAGUAUCACUAGGGUGACUGGAUAAUUUAUGUGCGAGAAGACACUGAACUCUGGCAUGUUAAAGCACAAGAAAAACAGAGCAGUUUAGCCAGACAUGGGGGAAAAAAUCUUUAAAAUAGUGUGUAAAGUGUCCCCCAUGACAGUCUGUUUUCAGUCUAUCGCACAGUUUUAGUCGCAUAAAAACCAUUCAUGGCUAACAAUGUGUAAUUAUAUGGGGGGAUUUUAAAUUUGUACAAGCAAUGAAUGCUGAGGAAGAUUUCAGUGUGAAUAAAGAUGAUGUUCUGGCUCCAUUUUGUUUUGGGUUUAGCUUUGUGCAAGACAUGCACAGAUUUUUGAAAGAAAUAGUUGCCUGCAGGAAAUUUACCAUGAACUGUUGCCUCCUAAACUAAAUUAGGUGUUUUUAUUGUUUUGUUUUUUUAGGCUGUUAUCUCUUAUCUGAAAGAAAUAAACAUUUGAUUCCU